CCUCAGUGAAUGUCAGCUUCUAAUACUUUUUUUUUUUUUAAGUAGGCUUCACAUCCAGCACGGAACCCAAUGAGGGGCUUGAACUCAUGACCCUGAGAUCAAGACCUGCGCUGGGAUCAAGAGUCAGAUGCUCAACUGACUGAGCCACCCAGAGGCAGCUGAAUUCAAGUGCAGGAGUCUGGUCACCUUGUCUGUCAUCAGGGGAGUAUGUGGACCAGGUUUAUUGUAUCUGUUUGGCAAAGAAAGGCCCUUUUUGACCUGAGAUCAGGAGAAGGGGAAACAAGCAUGGAGGAUGGGUUUGUCGUCACAGUGGUGUCUUUGGCUUGGAGACGUCUUGGAGCAGUACUGCAGGUGAAAGAGAUCUGCUUACAUACCAACCUGGAUAGGACCUUGACAUUCAGGUGAUCUCCCUUUUAGUUUCCUUCUCAACAUGGCCAGCCCACCGAGGAAAGGGAAACGGACGGGGAACCUCAUCCUCUACCCAGUGCACCACUGGCCGUCCUGAGAAAUGAAGCUGGGGACUCGAGAGGGAAACCAGAGCCCUCUGCUUCUUUCUGUUAUUCCUGACAACAGAUGGAAGAGAGGCAAACCCUCACCUCCUGUGGUCACUGCUGAUACUCAACUGGGAACCUCGUUCUCAGUAGCUACAGACUUUCCUAAUCACUCAUCUUAACUAAACCUGACACGGGGUUCUAUUGCCUCUCAUGAGAAAGGUCUUGGGAGGCUGUAAACCUACGUAGUUGGGAAAAGAAUGUCCCGCACCGAAGGGGGAGGAGAGGAGCUACAGAUUUCCAACUUUCACAGCUUGUCUGCCUGUGGAGACUGUGCUGCAGUGUGCUCUUGAAAUCAUUUGGGUGGGCCUCAUUUCUGAGGAAAUAAAGAGGCCCCAGAACCUCCCGAGUGAAGGAAUGAUUUCCAGAUCGUCAAGUGGAGCAGCCUCUGGCUCCACGAGCUGGAUGUGCUUGGCUGUCUUUCCAUGUGGCUGGCCAGCGUCCUGAGGUUAGCAAAGCAGAAGGCAAAUCUUUGGGGAGCCAAGAGACCUGUGCACGUGCCAGUAUUUUUGACAAAUGCUUGGUUAAUUGUUGCCUGUGAUUCCGCUCCUGAGACGCAAACUCUCUACACCAGGCACCAAGAACAGCCUCCUCCUCCUACCUUCCUAGAACCCGGCGGGGAAACUUCAUAAUUACAUACGUUUGAGCUAAGCAUCUACCCCACAGGAAAUGGACAGAUCAGCCCCUGGAGAUUAAAGAAUGAUGCAGGGCAUGGGAAAGUAGAGAAGUCUCCUGGGUGAGAAGGAAGAUAAACACACAAGUAAACCCAAAGAUUUUAUCCACCGAUUUGAGAAACUCAGGGUUUCUUGUAAGAAUACCAAAGAAAUGAUGGUCAGAAGAAACUUGGGCAAAUCGCUGAGAAAUCUGGAUCAUUCCAUAACUGGUAAAUAAUUUAGCAUUUGGAAACCUCAACAUUCCAGGAUGGAAUUCAAUUUGGGAUUAGUUACUGGAAAUCAUGGCAUAUACAGUGAACUCAAAAACAAAUUAUGCAUACGCAGAGGUGAAACAGGGAUCUAAACUGUCAAAUCCAUGACCUUCGUGAAUAUUUUCUUCAAGGUCUAGCCCUUUUACAGUCUUGCCUUUUUUUUCCCCCUUAUUCAAGCGAUAGACUGAACUGGUAAAGAGCCCAUUCCAUUGCUCUGGAGGUUGAUUUCAGUGGAAAUCCAUUUUGACUGACUUUUGUCAAAGGGUUUGAAUCAAGAGAUUUAUGCAUUAGAUAUCAAAUUUAACCUCUCUCUAUAAUAGUACCGAGGUACUUCAUCGUUACUUCCACCAAAGGGCGAUUUUAUGAAAAAUGACAAGAGCAUGUCAAAUCAAUUUCACAGCAAGACCUUCAGGGUAGUAAGUUCCAACAAGAAAGUGAAGAUGAUGAGUAAUUAAUUUAAGGAGUAGGUAAUUCACUCUCCUUGAAUCCAAACUGCUCAAAGAAAAUGGAAACUGUCUUGAAAAAAAGUUUAAUUUAAAAUCAUACAGAUGAGAGAGAGAUGUAGUUGGGUAAGGGAUUGUAAAUAUCUAGGGAAAUCUGUAAAUAACCUUGCACAGAAUGUUAACUUAGUAAAUGAGAAUGCAAGAGAAGAAUACAAGAAAAUAAAAAAAAGCUAAAUAACAAAAGUGUCAUCAAGAAAUCAGUGAAUCAGACAAGAAUCGUGUUGGCAAAUUCAGACUUUAAAAUCUGAUCAAGACACUUAGGGGCGCCUGGGUGGCUCAGUCAGUUAAGCAUCCGACUUGGCUCAGGUCAUGAUCUCAUGGUCCGUGAGUUCGAGCCCUGCAUCAGGCUCUGUGCUGACAGCUCAGAGCCUGGAGCCUGCUUUGGAUUCUGUGUCUCCCUCUCUCUCUGCUCUUCCCCUGUUCACACUCUCUUUCUUUCUCAAAAAUAAAUAAACAUUAAAAAAAAAUCUGACCGAGACACUUAGUAUAAGGGAUGGAAUAAAAUUAAACAAAGGCAUGGAAUAGUCUAAGCAGAGAGGGAGAAAAGAAAAGAAAUUGGACCGACUUUUCCUUUACAAAAAAGUAAAAGAAAUAACAUAUCUUGGACAACCAUAUUGACUUCCUCUAGGGGGGAAAAAAGUGUUUUAUUUUGUUUCAGUUUGUGUUUUUUUUUUUUUUAAACUAAGAAACAGCUGGGUCUGUCUGAAGUAAAAAUAGUGACCAGAAAACUUGGUUGGGUAAAAGAUCCCACCAAAGCUCUGAAAUUAGUACAAGGAUCUUUGCACACAGAGCAUACUUUAAGAAGCAAUAGUAAACAUUCUGCUAUGCUUUAUUUGAAGGGGGAAAAAAAGUUAAAAAGCCCUCAAUGAAGUCUUUUUCAGACAUGUGUCAUGGGCUUUUUGUCGCUGAACUAUUCCAUAUUAACAAACUAAGUUGCUUUUCCUUUCAUUCCUUUGGCCACAGGACAGACAAAAUUCACCAAUGUCUCUACCACAGACAUUCUCAGAUGGUGCUAAUAAAAAGAAGAAACCCAAACCAGAAUUGGUGGUCCACAUUGUGAGAGUUGCUAAAUAUCAUCACAAAGCAAUAAUUAUCCGAGAGCACGCUUGGUGGCUCAACAUUCUGAAAUGCAAAUGUCAAGAGCGUAUAAUCUGGAUGAUGUGGCUAAUGGGAGCUCAUGUUUUGUGUUGGGUGGUCUUCUGUGCUGCCUGGUGGUCUUGUUUCUGCCUGCUAUGACAGCACUAAUGGUUUCAUGUAGUCCCCAGUCCUACACGGGAUUCACUUGUCUCUCCUUAGUAAUGCACAACAAGUCAUAAAAGACAGGCUUACCCAGAAAUGACACCGCGAGGAUUCCAGACAUUUUCUCUCUUGGUGGUGACAGUUCCAAAUCAAGUUGGCUCAGUGUUUAAGUCAAAGCAUUUUUUCAAGUGGCGGCUCGAAACACAGCUUUAGAUCUGGAAAAUCAAACUGGCCUCCUCUUGCCUCUUCCAUCAUUGCUUGUAAUAAAUAUUCAAC